rnacentral:rRNA from 1 species
GACGAACGCUGGCGGCGUGCCUAAUACAUGCAAGUUGAGCGCUGAAGGUUGGUACUUGUACCAACUGGAUGAGCAGCGAACGGGUGAGUAACGCGUGGGGAAUCUGCCUUUGAGCGGGGGACAACAUUUGGAAACGAAUGCUAAUACCGCAUAAAAACUUUAAACACAAGUUUUAAGUUUGAAAGAUGCAAUUGCAUCACUCAAAGAUCAUCCCGCGUUGUAUUAGCUAGUUGGUGAGGUAAAGGCUCACCAAGGCGAUGAUACAUAGCCGACCUGAGAGGGUGAUCGGCCACAUUGGGACUGAGACACGGCCCAAACUCCUACGGGAGGCAGCAGUAGGGAAUCUUCGGCAAUGGACGAAAGUCUGACCGAGCAACGCCGCGUGAGUGAAGAAGGUUUUCGGAUCGUAAAACUCUGUUGGUAGAGAAGAACGUUGGUGAGAGUGGAAAGCUCAUCAAGUGACGGUAACUACCCAGAAAGGGACGGCUAACUACGUG